rnacentral:rRNA from 1 species
GAUGAACGCUGGCGGCGUGCUUAACACAUGCAAGUCGAACGGUGAAGCCUAGCUUGCUGGGUGGAUCAGUGGCGAACGGGUGAGUAACACGUGAGCAACGUGCCCCAGACUCUGGGAUAACAGUUGGAAACAGCUGCUAAUACCGGAUACGAGACGUGGCCGCAUGGUCGACGUUUGGAAAGAUUUUUUGGUCUGGGAUCGGCUCGCGGCCUAUCAGCUUGUUGGUGAGGUAAUGGCUCACCAAGGCGUCGACGGGUAGCCGGCCUGAGAGGGUGACCGGCCACACUGGGACUGAGACACGGCCCAGACUCCUACGGGAGGCAGCAGUGGGGAAUAUUGCACAAUGGGCGGAAGCCUGAUGCAGCAACGCCGCGUGAGGGAUGACGGCCUUCGGGUUGUAAACCUCUUUUAGCAGGGAAGAAGCGAAAGUGACGGUACCUGCAGAAAAAGCGCCGGCUAACUACGUGCCAGCAGCCGCGGUAAUACGUAGAGCGCAAGCGUUAUCCGGAAUUAUUGGGCGUAAAGAGCUCGUAGGCGGUUUGUCGCGUCUGCUGUGAAAUCCCGAGGCUCAACCUCGGGCCUGCAGUGGGUACGGGCAGACUAGAGUGCGGUAGGGGAGAUUGGAAUUCCUGGUGUAGCGGUGGAAUGCGCAGAUAUCAGGAGGAACACCGAUGGCGAAGGCAGAUCUCUGGGCCGUAACUGACGCUGAGGAGCGAAAGGGUGGGGAGCAAACAGGCUUAGAUACCCUGGUAGUCCACCCCGUAAACGUUGGGAACUAGUUGUGGGGUCCAUUCCACGGAUUCCGUGACGCAGCUAACGCAUUAAGUUCCCCGCCUGGGGAGUACGGCCGCAAGGCUAAGACUCAAAGGAAUUGACGGGGACCCGCACAAGCGGCGGAGCAUGCGGAUUAAUUCGAUGCAACGCGAAGAACCUUACCAAGGCUUGACAUAUAGAGGAAACGGCUGGAAACAGUCGCCCCGCAAGGUCUCUAUACAGGUGGUGCAUGGUUGUCGUCAGCUCGUGUCGUGAGAUGUUGGGUUAAGUCCCGCAACGAGCGCAACCCUCGUUCUAUGUUGCCAGCACGUAAUGGUGGGAACUCAUGGGAUACUGCCGGGGUCAACUCGGAGGAAGGUGGGGAUGACGUCAAAUCAUCAUGCCCCUUAUGUCUUGGGCUUCACGCAUGCUACAAUGGCCGGUACAAAGGGCUGCAAUACCGUGAGGUGGAGCGAAUCCCAAAAAGCCGGUCCCAGUUCGGAUUGAGGUCUGCAACUCGACCUCAUGAAGUCGGAGUCGCUAGUAAUCGCAGAUCAGCAACGCUGCGGUGAAUACGUUCCCGGGUCU